rnacentral:rRNA from 1 species
GACGAACGCUGGCGGCGUGCUUAACACAUGCAAGUCGAACGGAAAGGCCCUGCCUGCAGGGUACUCGAGUGGCGAACGGGUGAGUAACACGUGGGUGAUCUGCCCUGCACUUCGGGAUAAGCCUGGGAAACUGGGUCUAAUACCGGAUAGGAGCCAUUUUUAGUGUGAUGGUUGGAAAGUUUUUUCGGUGUAGGAUGAGCUCGCGGCCUAUCAGCUUGUUGGUGGGGUAAUGGCCUACCAAGGCGGCGACGGGUAGCCGGCCUGAGAGGGUGGACGGCCACAUUGGGACUGAGAUACGGCCCAGACUCCUACGGGAGGCAGCAGUGGGGAAUAUUGCACAAUGGGCGCAAGCCUGAUGCAGCGACGCCGCGUGGGGGAUGACGGCCUUCGGGUUGUGAACUCCUUUCGCUAGGGACGAAGCUUUUUGUGACGGUACCUAGAUAAGAAGCACCGGCUAACUACGUG